GUGUCAGCAGCCGCGGUAAGACAGAGGGUGCAAACGUUGUUCGGAAUCACUGGGCGUAAAGCGCGUGUAGGCUGCUGCGCAAGUCGGAUGUGAAAUCCCACGGCUCAACCAUGGAAGUGCAUUCGAAACUGCGUAGCUAGAGUUUUGGAGAGGAAGGCGGAAUACUCGGUGUAGAGGUGAAAUUCGUAGAUAUCGAGUGGAACACCGGUGGCGAAGGCGGCCUUCUGGACAAUGACUGACGCUGAAACGCGAAAGCGUGGGGAGCAAACAGGAUUAGAUACCCUGGUAGUCC
rnacentral:rRNA from 1 species